AUUGAACGCUGGCGGCAGGCCUAACACAUGCAAGUCGAACGAGUGGCGGACGGGUGAGUAAUGUCUGGGAAACUGCCCGAUGGAGGGGGAUAACUACUUGAAACGGUAGCUAAUACCGCAUACCAUCAGAUGUGCCCAGAUGGGAUUAGCUGGUUGGUGGGGUAACGGCUCACCAAGGCGACGAUCCCUAGCUGGUCUGAGAGGAUGAACGGCCACACUGGAACUGAGACACGGUCCAGACUCCUACGGGAGGCAGCAGUGGGGAAUAUUGCACAAUGGGCGCAAGUCUGAUGCAGCAAUGCCGCGUGUAUGAAGAAGGCCUUCGGGUUGUAAAGUACUUUCAGCGAGGAGGCGUUAACCGCAGAAGAAGCACCGGCUAACUCCGUGCCAGCAGCCGCGGUAAUUC
rnacentral:rRNA from 1 species